rnacentral:tRNA from 7 species
CCGCCGCUAGCUCGGCAGGAUAGAGCAGCAGCCCUGUUGGUGCGAGGUUCAAAUCCCCGGUGGCGGACCA